GAUGAACGCUGGCGGCGUGCCUAAUACAUGCAAGUCGAGCGAACAGACGAGGAGCUUGCUUCUCUGACGUUAGCGGCGGACGGGUGAGUAACACGUGGAUAACCUACCUAUAAGACUGGGAUAACUUCGGGAAACCGGAGCUAAUACCGGAUAAUAUAUUGAACCGCAUGGUUCAAUAGUGAAAGACGGUUUUGCUGUCACUUAUAGAUGGAUCCGCGCCGCAUUAGCUAGUUGGUAAGGUAACGGCUUACCAAGGCAACGAUGCGUAGCCGACCUGAGAGGGUGAUCGGCCACACUGGAACUGAGACACGGUCCAGACUCCUACGGGAGGCAGCAGUAGGGAAUCUUCCGCAAUGGGCGAAAGCCUGACGGAGCAACGCCGCGUGAGUGAUGAAGGUCUUCGGAUCGUAAAACUCUGUUAUUAGGGAAGAACAAAUGUGUAAGUAACUAUGCACGUCUUGACGGUACCUAAACAGAAAGCCACGGCUAACUACGUG
rnacentral:rRNA from 1 species